UAAUUUAAUAAAGUGGAAGAUGGGUAAAAGUGUAAUUUUACGAAUAAAUACCCUAGGUAUAAAUUAGAAAUUUUAUUCUUUCCCUUCUUUUCUGAAUAGAGUUCCUGUUCGCAGAAUUCCAGAGAACGUAAGGUUGGAGUCAGAUUUCAGGGUUGAAGAACAGAUCUCUAUAGGUGAAGAGUAGAUUUUAAGGAUUAUUUUUCUCCAAAGUUUUUGAGGACUUCUUUUGAGGUACUCUUAGUUCGGGUGAGGAGUGAUGGCUAGGCUGAGAAAUGGUCAUCAUUAGGAUUUGACUUAGGA